AGGAUUAACGCUGGCGGCGUGCAUGAAACAUGCAAGUCGAGCGCGGUGUAAUGCGGGGUAACCCAAUUCACAUCUAGCGGCGAACGGGUGAGUAACACGUGAGCAACCUACCUUUGAGUUGGGGAUAGCCCUGGGAAACCAGGAUUAAUACCCGAUGUGGUCACAACAGGACAUCCUGAUGUGAGUAAAGGCGCAAGCCGCUCAAUGACGGGCUCGCGGCCUAUUAGCUUGUUGGCGGGGUAAUGGCCCACCAAGACUGUGAUCGGUA
rnacentral:rRNA from 1 species